UACGUAGGGUGCAAGCGUUAAUCGGAAUUACUGGGCGUAAAGCGUGCGCAGGCGGUUUUGUAAGUUUGUCGUGAAAUCCCCGGGCUUAACCUGGGAAUUGCGAUGAAGACUGCAAGGCUAGAAUCUGGCAGAGGGGGGUAGAAUUCCACGUGUAGCAGUGAAAUGCGUAGAGAUGUGGAGGAACACCGAUGACGAAGGCAGCCCCCUGGGUCAAGAUUGACGCUCAUGCACGAAAGCGUGGGGAGCAAACAGG
rnacentral:rRNA from 1 species